rnacentral:rRNA from 1 species
CGCGGCCUAUCAGCUUGUUGGUGGGGUAAUGGCCUACCAAGGCGACGACGGGUAGCCGGCCUGAGAGGGCGACCGGCCACACUGGGACUGAGACACGGCCCAGACUCCUACGGGAGGCAGCAGUGGGGAAUAUUGCACAAUGGGCGAAAGCCUGAUGCAGCGACGCCGCGUGAGGGAUGACGGCCUUCGGGUUGUAAACCUCUUUCAGCAGGGACGAAGCGUAAGUGACGGUACCUGCAGAAGAAGCGCCGGCCGACUACGUGCCAGCAGCCGCGGUAAGGCGUAGGGCGCGAGCGUUGUCCGGAUUUAUUGGGCGUAAAGAGCUCGUAGGCGGCUUGUCGCGUCGACUGUGAAAACCCGCAGCUCAACUGCGGGCCUGCAGUCGAUACGGGCAGGCUAGAGUUCGGUAGGGGAGACUGGAAUUCCUGGUGUAGCGGUGGAAUGCGCAGAUAUCAGGAGGAACACCGGUGGCGAAGGCGGGUCUCUGGGCCGAUACUGACGCUGAGGAGCGAAAGCGUGGGGAGCGAACAGGAUUAGAUACCCUGGUAGUCCACGCUGUAAACGUUGGGCGCUAGGUGUGGGGGACCUCUCCGGUUCUCUGUGCCGCAGCUAACGCAUUAAGCGCCCCGCCUGGGGAGUACGG